CGACUAUCACUGGAGAUUAAAUAAAUUAUGAUCAAAAGUGUUAAUCAAUAUAACGACAAGUAAAUAAAGAAGAUAGAGAAAGGGAAAAUUUGAACUUGGGCCAACUUGCCCAAAUUCUACUAAGUUGGGCUCUAGCCCACCUGUCCUAAUGCUAAAAUGGCCCAUAAAAUGUAUUCUUCCCCACUUUAAUUCCUGUUGGGCCUGCAGGAAAAUUCGUUGGGCCUUUGGCCCUACUUUCCUUCAAAUGACAUCUGUAUACACUUUGUGUAUAUUAUGGUAUAUAGACCAUAUACAAUCCAUUUUUGGGCCUGCCAAUCCUGUAUUUUCGCUGAAUUUUACAUACUGUAUUUCCUGCUUGUGUUCUUCUUCUUUUUUUCGCACCUGUAUAUUGUACAUUCUAACUGUAUAUCAGUGUAUUCAAUUGGUAUAUCGACCUAUUUUUUGUUUACUUUUCAGCGGCUGGAAAAUUAAUUUCCAGCAACAUAUUGUUGCUUAAACCUGUUCACCAUUUUAGAGGGCUGACCGAUUCGAGCAGGAGGGUUCGAGCCUUUGUGGCUCAACCAAGAAAUUCGGGGGGAGAAGUAAAGUCCGCGAGGACUCGAAAGGAAUUUCACAUGCGAUGAAAUGCAGUUGAAUUAGCAUUUGAAAUGAUUUAAUAAAUAAAGCAUAUCUCAAAAAUAUACGAAUUUGAACCAACACAUAUGACUUUAGAGAAAAUACAAUGAACCAAAUUAAGAGUGACGACGUUAAUAUGCAAAUUAUGAUGCUUGAUAGUAGCACACCCAUAUACUAGUGAGCAUAGCAACCUAGAGAAUCAGAGAUAAAGGCCACAUGAGCAUGUUGUAUCCAAGCAAAAAAAGAGCUAAAAUGUAUAAAAGACAAUAUGAACUCUUACUAUAUUCACAAUAAGUUAAUGCCUUUGUGCAAUGCCUCAAUUCUUCCAAGAAAAUAAACACAAAGGGAAGUACUAGAAAGUCGAAGGUAUGACUUAAUUUUUAGAUGAUGGGGACUAAGUAUAAGAAAAUGCAAAUGGUUAAGCAAACCAGGUCAAACAAUUUUAAAGAAAAAGAAAGAUAUUCUAAAAGGAACAAACAUUCCAUAACAAAUAACAAAGCAAUCUUAGCCAAAUACAUUCCGAAAUAAAAUCAGAUAUCAAACUAGAAAAAAAAAGGUCACUCAAAUCUAAGGCAAAAGAAGAAAUAUACAAAAAAAGCCAUGGUUUAUUACAAUGAACCGAGGAAAAGCCAUACUACUUCAUCACUAAUGCAGACAUACGAAAAAUGGGGAAAACGAAAUCAAAUGGGCAACUGCACAUUCGUAAUUCCAUAUGGUUACAACCUAUCAGAAUAUACUAAAUAAAACAAACAUGCUAAGGCGACAUAAAAACAUAGAUCGACUCAAAUUCGACGAAAUUCGAUUAUGCAAAUUUUAUAUGAAGAAAAAUAGCAAAUGACUCGGCUAUCAUUUAAAUCAAGGAUACAAGAAAAGAAGAAUAACCAACUUAUCUCAAUGUCAUUCCAAGUAUAUUGAAUAGAUGAUGAUAAAAAAAUAAAAUAUAACAAUAUGCAUCACCGACAACUAUGACAAGCUGGAAGAAACUCGGAAAGGGACGUUGGUAACAUGGUAAGAUCAAACAAUGAUAGCAACUAGCAGAUAAACAAACUCUCAACACAUCAUGCGAAGUUCGCGUAAGUGACAAUUUCUGGAUUUGCAAACACGAUGCCUUACAGUUGAAGUGAGCAAACACUUAUCUUGGAACAAAUAACAGAUGAUGAAACAAUUAAUAAGAAGUCCAAACAACAAAAGAAGCUAAUCCAACAUUCCAUAUUCAAACAAGUAAAGGAUGAAACAUAGGAGAAACAAGGAAAGAAAACAUCCAGAACUACAAGAGUAUUCCUCGCAUACUACUCGGAAUCGAAAUAAGACAUGGAUGAGAGGCAUAUAAUUACCUUUUUUCAGGAAGCUGAACUCUGACAAGGACGAGCUAAGGGAAAUUUCAGCCCCACAAGUAAACUCCAAACGAACUCUUAUAGGACUCCGAAAGAAAGCUUCUAAAGAGACGAUGAAAAUUUGUUGGCUAUUGGAAUGUUAUUCUUUGCUUCUAUGAUGAGAUUAAUCAACUAUUUUUCCCAAUCCUUUUUCUAAUAUUUUACUCACAAGGUAAGUUGUCUCCAAAAAUUCAAUUCCUCAAUAUCAACCCUUCCCAAAAAAAAUUCUCUUUUUUUUUCUCGCCUCCCCCUCUUCCUCAAGGGAACAGUAAAACAUAUAUAUUGAGGGGAAUUAGGGCAAGACUUUUGGGGGGAGGGGGAACCAAAUAGAAUGCAGGUCCAAUCUCACUCCCAAAAUUCAAAAUUUUAAUUCCUUCACCAUUAGAGGCAGACUUCUCUGAACCUAUUACCAAAAUGGGAAGGGGAAUGGACGAAUUUGAUUAACUUCUCGUCCUUGUGCCUUGACGUGGAGUAAUCUGAGGCCACGAGGACGAUUCGCGUGCUGCCAUUGCCGAGAAUAAUUGUACAUCAGGAAAGGGAUGUCCGAGGAAGAGGAAAAAGAAUGCAGGGUGUCACCUCCUCUCUCACUGUUCACGCGGAGGAGAAAAGUAAAAGUGGUCGUUUGGUUGGAUAUUAUUUGGGUAUGUAUGCAUUGCUAUUGGGAAUGGACCUAAGAAAGGGUCAUUUAGGUGUGGGUUGGCUCAACAAAAGGUGAAUGAGUUAUGGGCUUGACUAUUGUUAAGAGAAAAUGGUCCAACAUGGACUUUGCAAAGAGUUGAAAUUAAGACUAGAAGAGGGCUACAUAUUUGUAAAAAAGACUAGCCAAGAGUAUUAACAAUUUAGCUUAAAAUUAAAUGUUUUUGGAAAAUUAAGUUAAAAUAAAAUAAGUUGAAUUGUUAUGAAUUAAUUAACGAACUUCUGAAUUGCUAUGAAUUAAUUAACGAACUUCUUAAUCUUGACGAAAUAUAAUAAUUAGCAGAAUCUCAAACUAGUAAUCCAAAAAUAUAACCAUAAUUUGAGCUAAACUAAUUUAACAAAAUAUUUACUCAAAUUAAGAUAUUUUUUUAAGUUGAUUUUCGAAUAUUUACAAAACAUACUAAUUAUAUAAAAUUAUAUAAAACAAUAUAUUAUCUAAAAAUUAUUAAAAGGUGACAAAAUUAUCAAAAUAUCUUGCAAACUUUAUAUUAUUAUUAUUAUUAUUAUUAUUAUUAUUAUUAAUAUUAAUAUUAUUAUUAUUAUUCUUUGAAGUUUAUAAAACUAAUUAUUUUAAAUCAUCUGGGAAUUUAGGAAGCUCGAUAUGAUUAAUUUAUAUUGGGGAGGAUCAAAAUUAGGUGUCAACAACUGUCCCUCAUUUUACUCAGAUUGAUGCAAGAAAUCCGAAGAAAAUGAAAUUAAUCAAUCUAGUUUUGACCAACCACACAUUCAACUCUUGGAAACGAAUUAUGGUCGAACUCCAAAAAUGGGUCUCUUACACAUCUCAAGCUAUAUGAGAGUUCAGACCAUUUGUAAGACCGAUCCACUUGAUUUAACUCACAAUUUUAAAAGAAUUCAAAAGUCAUCGUGAUACCGAAUAAUGAAGGGACCGAAAUGGUCGAGAAUAAGAUUUGAGAGAGAAUAUUGGAAUACAGCCGAGCUUUCAGCAUUGAGCUCGCCUACAUAUCCUUACGCUUCGGAAUCAGGCUGUUUGUAGUUUGACUUGAUCAGUUGAAAAGAAAAUCCAUUAUGCCAGAUAACCUUUGAUUCGAGAUGAGGGACCAAUUAAAUCGAGUAUGAAAAAAGAGGCUUGUAACCUCUUAGACAUGAAUGUGGCGCGCUUCACACCCAUGAUUAAGGACUUACACGGAUAUAAUUUCCAAAACUCUUGGUGCAUUGUCACUCAGAUCGGAAACUUGCUUCUGACAAAUAUCAAAUUUCCCGGAUGCAUACCAAAACUGAUAAAAGCCAAAGAAAAACCCACAUGCCUUCUGAUAGGGGUGUGAUCUGAUUGCGGUGGAAUUCGCUCCUUUGCUCUUAUCCUAAGAGUUUGAUAACCUCUUUGGACUAUGUCCCAGUUCGCUGCUAAGAAAAAGUUCCCCACAUUGUGCUGCAUCCUGUUUGAUGUCGUCUGCACCUGUGGGUUUUUUUUUUUGGAGAAUUCAUCCUUUCGGAUGAUUUCGACAAGGACUGAGAUAAAACUCAUAAGUAUAAAAAUACAAUUUAAAUGGGAGUCAUUCUCUUGGUUUCGGUGAGUAAUCUCAAACUGUUCACAUAUAUCUUUCAUCAAGUGACUGUUGAGAUUUGCACCAUAAUCGGUGAUGAUGGAUUCUAGUACUCCAAACCUACAUAUUAGAUUGUUGCAAACAAAAUCAGCCACAACUUUCUUGGUUACCGACUUGUAAGAAACUGCUUCCACCCACUUGGUGAAAUAAUCAAUGGCAACUAAAAUAAAUUUGUGUCCAUUAGAAGCGUCUGGCUCUAUCGGACUGAUGACAUGCAUACCCCAAGCUACAAAUGGCCAAGGUGAACUCAUAGCAUUAAGUUCGUGAGGUGGCACUCGGAUCAAAUCACCGUGCACUUGACAUUUAUGGCAUUUUUGAACAAACUUGCAAAAAUAACUCUCCAUAGUCAUCCAGAAAUACCCUACUCGAAGGAUCUUUCUUGCAAGAGUGAGCCCAUUCAUAUGUGUGUCACAAACUCCAGCAUGUAUUUGUUCGAUAAGCUUCGCAGCUUCUACAGCAUCGACACAUCAGAGAAGACCCAAGUCUGGAGUCCUCCUAUAAAGGACAUUUCCACAUUGAAAGAAAUUGAGAGCCAUAGGGCGUAUUGACUUCUUUUGGUUGGAUGUAGCAUCUUCAGGAUAAUUUUUUGGACUCUAAAUACUUCUUUAUAUCAAAAUACCAUGUCAAACCGUCUGUUCUAUUUCAACAUGUGAACAAUGGAAUGGAUGGUCUAUCAGCUCUAUAUCUACAUAACUCGAUCUUCUGAAAUCUUUUGAACAACUUCUGUACAUACCGCACGUAAGGUAUAAUCUUCGGGCUCUUCAUGCCCCAUUCCCCUUGAACCUGAUGAAUCAACUGAUCUAAAUCUCCAAUAACCAAUAGCUCGUAGAUGUUCAUGUCAAUGGCCAUUAUUAAACCAAUAAUGCAAGAUUCGUAUUAAGUCAUGUUAUUCAUGCAAUUAAAUUGGAGUUUAGCUGCCAUGGGAUAGUACUGACCAGAUUCUAACACUAAAAUUGCUAAUAUGCCUUUCCCUUGAUGAUUUUUCGCUCCAUCAAAGAAUAGUCUACAACCCGGAUAUGCUUCAGAAAUAUAUUCACCCACAAACUACACUUCUUCAUCGUGAAAAUAAGUCUUAAGCGGUUCAUACUCUUCAUCAACAUGAUAUUCUACAAGAUGAUCAGCCAAGGCCUUUACCUUUAUUGCCUUCUGAGUCACAUACACGAUAUCAAACUCACUCAAUAACAUUUGCAAUUUAGCUAACUUUCCGGUCAGCAUCACAUUUGGGAAAAUAUACUUCAAUGGAUCCAUUCUGAAAAUAAGUUAUGUAGUAUAUAAAGACAAAUAAUGUCUCAACUUCUGGGCAAGCCAAGUCAAAUCACAACAUGUUCUCUCCAACAGUGUAUCGAGACUCGUAUGGAGUAAACUUCUUGCUUAUGUAAUAGAUAGCUUUUUCCUUCUUUCCCGUCUCAUUGUGUUGACCAAGUACGCAUCCGAAUUCACUAUCUGAGAGGACAAAUGCAGCAACAAAGGACUCCCUUUUUGCAGAGGAACCAAUACCGGUGGAUUUGACAAAUAGUUCUUGAUAGCGUUGAAACCAAUCUGACACUCUUAAGUCCACUUUAUCAAAAUGUCUUUCUUCAACAGCUUGAAGAUAGGCUCACACACCACGAUUGAUUGAGCUAUGAAUCGACUGAUGUAGUUUAACCUCCCUAAGAAACUCAUCACCUCUUUUCUCAUCUUCGUCGGAGGUAACUCAUGAAUUGCUUUAAUCUUAGAAGGAUCGAUCACAAUACCCCUUCUGCUGACUGUAAAUCCCAACAACUUUUUUGCUGGAACUCCAAAAGCGCAUUUGGAGGGAUUUAACUUCAAGUUGUAAUAACGCAAAUGAUGAAAGAAUUUCCUUAGAUGUGUUAAGUGGUUUGAACUGUCGCGGGACUUGAUUAUGACGUCAUCUACAUACACCUCAAUCUCCUUAUGAAUCAUAUACUGAAAUAUGGUCAUCAUAGCCCUCAUAUAAGUAGCACCAGCAUUCUUGAGGCCAAAUGUCAUCACCCUGUAAUGAUAUACACCCCAUCGUGUAGUAAAAAAUGUCUUUUUUGUAUCUUCCUCGUCCAUCAGAAUCUGAUGAUAACUUGCAUAACAAUCCACAAAUGACUCAAUUUCAUGUUUAGCACACUUAUCAAUCAGAAUAUGAAUAUUUGGAAAAGGAAAAUUAUCCUUAGGGCUGACUUUGUUGAGAUCUCUGUAGUCGACACAAAUUCUGAUUUUCCUGUCUUUCGUGGCAACCAAAACAACAUUGGCUAACCAAGUCGGGUAUUGUGUCACUUCCACCAAUCGAGACUUGAUCUUAUUGGUGAUCUCUAUUUUUAUCUUUAAACUCAAUUCAGGAUUGAACUUUCGAGCUUUCUGUUUCACCAGACUGAACCCUGGAUUAAUCGACAAUUUGUGAGACACAACACUGGUACUCAACCCUAGCAUGUUGCUGACUUCCCAUACGACCACAUCAAUCUACUCGGUGAGUAAAUGAAUCACGCCCUUUCUUUGAUCUUCAUUCAAGUGGACACUGAUUUUGACCUUUUUUACACACUCUUAGUCUCCUAGAUUUACAGUUUUAGUUUCCUCUAAGUUCAGUAUAUGAUGAUUUUCAAACUGCAAAAACUCUUCAGCAACAUAUUUCGGCGCCUCAUUUUCGUCUUCGUAUUCAUCAACCUUGUCGUCACUAGCCUCAUUUUGUUCAUUCAGCUCAUGACAUGACAUGACAUUGGCAGUCUUAAAACUUACAUUACAAGGAGUUCAGGGUAUCAAGAUGCGCGUGGAGGUCUAGUUCUGCAACAUCUCUCCUUUCUUAGCAUCAUGGAAUCCUGUCAGCUCGACCUCUUCUUCAAUCAUAACAUCAAUCUCUUCAAAAAGGCCACAGAUUCCUUCCCAAAGGUCAUCCUCCUCUGCAUAUUCACGGACUAGAAAGGAUUGAUAUAGAUGAGGGAUUGGCUUGGCCAAUUCUUGAUCCCUCUUCUUCUUUGUCUUCUCAUCCUCAUCUGUGGGGACGUACCCCAAUCCAUACCUUACCCUUUUGACAUGAACUUGAAUGGGCUCAACAAUUCCUUCGGAAUUCUUUCCCAAUCCGAAACCUGGUACAAAUCCACUUUGUCACAUCACAGUAGCAAUCAUCUUAUACACAGAAUGCAUGCGAGGCUUUGGGGCCAAGUCUCACCGGUGAUAUUUACCAGCUCAACCGUGUACAAAUCAGUACCUCGAGACACUUCAUCGAUAAUCGAUGCUUGUCUUCCAAAAUGACUACAUUCGCUAUGAAUGACUAGCUCUUUGCUCUUCUAAACAGUUUCAUCAUCUGAUGCAGGGUAGAAGGCACAACUCAAUCCAUGAGAACGAAAGGCCUUCCUAGAAGAAGGUUGUAGCUGGUGUCAAUAUCUAGGACUUGAAACUGUGCUUUGAACUCGGCACGGCCCAAUUGGAUAACCAGAUUUACGGCUCCCAAUGUAUCUCUUUGACCCCCAUCGAAGGCUCUCACGUUGAAUUGAUUUUGCUCAAGUUUUCCCAAGUCAAACUUCAACUGCCUUAGCAUCGACAACAGGCAUAUGUUCAGACCAGAUCCAGCAUCUACUAAGAUGCGAUUGGUAACCUUUUCGCCACAACCGACAGUGAUAUGCAGUGCCUUGUGGUGGGACUUGCCUUCAAAAGGCAGCUCAUCGUCACAAAAGAUGAUUUGAUGCCCUCGAAUAACCUGGUGGAUCAUAGCGGCAAUGAUAUCGCUAUUUUUUUCUGUAGGUACAUACGUAUCAUCAAGAUCCUUCAUUAAAGUCUCUGUGCAAUUAAGAACUCAUCAGCAAGGCCCAUACAAAAAUCUGGGCUGGAGUCUUCUCCAAAUGCUUGACAAUAGAAUAAUCUUUCGGCUGCAUUCUUCUCCAAAAUUCCUCUGCUUCACCCUCGCUUAUUAGCCUUUUAGCUUGAUCCUUCUUUUGACCUCCGAGAGCAAGCUCCUCAAGAGUAUAACAAAUUCUGGAUCGGAUCAUACCUUGUGCAGUAGCAGUCUCAAUCACAAAUUUUGGCAUGAUAUGAGUUUUUGAUGGCACCAAGGCAACAACAUUUGCGGGCGUCAAGAUAACGAACUCUUUCUUCUCUUUGAUGCUUAAGGAAGCUACAAAAUUUUCCAACUAGUCCUAAACGAUUGAAGUUAUAACUUUCGUCCCACACCAAUAAUCGUCUGUUUCUAUCAUACUCUCGUUACCGCCUCCAUGAUUUGGCAAAGGAUUAGUAUUGACAUUGGGUGAAGCUGGUUGGACAUAAACCACCUUUUGGUCAGUUAAAUCCUGAAUCUUGUGCUUGAGGUUGAUACAGUCCUCAGUAUCAUGCCCAACACUAUUAGAAUGAUAAGCACAUCUCUGAUCAGUCCUAUAGAAUUUUGAAUUGAUAUCCACGGGUUUGGGCCCCACUAGGUGGAUACAUUCGGCCGCUGCCAGUCUCUCAUACAUGAGGGGGUGCUCUGUAGCUCGAAUUCACGUUAUCACAGUUGAGAGCAACACCUUGAUAAUAAAGAGAAGGAAUUUGGUAUAGUGGAGGAUGAUUUUGGUAUGUGGGAGAUGAAUUUUUGUAAAUUGGAGGUGGAUUCUGGUAAGUCAGAGAUGGAUUUUGGUAAAUUGGAGGUGGAUUAUUUUUCUUACUAGCCUGGUAAGAGUUUUGAGAAGGUCGAGAACGACCUUGGGAGUGGGAGUACGAAGAUCUUAUUGGGUUUUUCUUGCCCUCAUAUGAAACAGCAGCCACGUCUUCUCUCUUCUUUUUCAAUAACCCUGAAUAUCCAGGCGAUGCGGCUACAUGGGCUAUCUUCCCUGAUUUUAAACCAUUCUCGACAGUCUUACCAAUCUUGACUAUCUCGGCAAAAUUUCUCCUACGAGUAACAUAAUUUUAUCAUAAUUUUUGGGUUGUUGCACCCGCUAAACACUUCAACGAUAUCUUUUUCAUACAUAGGCAGUCUCAUCCUCGCCGCUUCUUUUCUCCACCUAUAGGCGAACUCCCUAUAUAUCUCGGUUGAUUUUUUCUUCAUCUUCUCCAAAGACUAUCGAUCUGGAACAAUUUCUACAUUGUAAGUGAAUCAAUCAAUAAACUCUUUGGCCAAUGCAUUCCAGCUAGUCCAUUGCCUGGUUUCAUGUGAGGUGAACCAUUCAAGAGCUUUUUCGCACAGGCUUCGGCUGAAGAGUCGCAUUAAUAGAGCUUCAUCCCUACCAACUCUAAUGAGCUGGUCACAGUAGGCUCUCAAAUGGGCCAUAGGGUUCCCCACUCCUCCGAAAGUAUCAAAUUUUGAGAUUUUGAACCCUUCGUGGAGGUCCAAAUUUGGAUGUAUACAUGAGUCUUCAUAAUUAAGCCCGGCAAUAUCAAGGAUGUAUUGGAGCUCUUUAAUGGCUUUCUUGAUCCCUUCUUUUAUGUCCACCUUUGCCUCUUCCUAUUCCCUCCACUCCCUUUACUAUUCCUCAUAAUGGUCUAACUCUGAAUCGCGCACAUCGUGCUCGGUAGGGACGGGAAUUCGAGAAGUGGUUCUUUUAGGUAAGGGUGGAGCUACAGAGGGACUCUGAGCGGUUUUAUAAUUCUAUGGGUAAGUAUGAGGAUUGGUAUUCUGAUUUGUGUAGUGGUGGGGUGUUUGGGGAUCGAAAGUAUUUUGGUUUUGAUUUUGCAGUGGUAGAGCGGUUUGAUGGUGGGUAUUUUGAGGAUGGGCCGACAUUUGGGGGUGGUUUUUUUAGAAGGAGGUUGAGUUUGGUAGGAUGCGGAAGCAUAUUGGGGAUUUUGGGUAGUGAGAUCCAUAAUUGACGAAUUUUGAGCAGGUGUAGAUGGCUGGUUCUGAGCUGGAUCCAUAUUUGAAGAAGGAAGUACAUUGGAGGUCUCCCAAAAGCACUGUUAGCAGCAAACCCUGGUUGAGACAGAUCCUGUCUUCUUUUCAUUUCAACUCUCAUUUCUGUAAUUUGUUGCAUUAAUUACAGAAUCAACUAAUUCUGGUCCGCUAUGGUGGGUUGAGCCACCAUAAUAUCUGUUUAACUUACUUCUUCGUUAUUGUAUCCCAUGACUGUUUUUUUCUUUGUCUGAUCUUUGUCUAGGAAAGGAAUCUGCGAGACCUUUCAAUCUGGUGAAAUAGGGAUGAUCUGCCAGCUUUUGUUCAACACAAAUCAGUUUCAAAGUACCUGAGAAGGAAAACAACUCAAAGGCAGAUAUGUCAGUGUAGAUUCAGAAUACAAAAUGCUGAAUAUCACACAAAGAGUAGAUAAACACACAAGUUGCUUUGUUUGAGGAUAUCUUCAACUCACGAGUACGAACGAAACAUAUUUUUUAACAAGCAGGAGUUUUCUUGUUUUAGUUUUGACACAGUAUCAGAAAGGCUAAAUCACGUUGAUCUAAGGUCUCCUUGCAACUGCUCUUUGAUGUCCAUUGACCUGGCCUUCGUAUCUUCUCGUAAUAUGAAGGGGGAGAAUCAAAAAUUUUAAAGAUAAGGGACGGUCCUGGGAAGGUUGCCUACGUAUCUCACAAGGAGAAUUCAGUCACAACGUAGUUCGAGUACAAAAGAAAAUAUUUUCAUUUAUUCAUUCAUUGAGAUUACAAGGAAAUUGAAAGACAACAAAGCUUUAAAUAUAAGAUGAUGACUCCAUCUUAGUCAAUCUUUCUCUCAUGGAAGCAUUAGUCACGAGGAUAAACUCGACUCGAAUCUUUCCCAUGUUGACGAGAGAUUUGAGGUUGUGGUGAAAACCAAGACACUUUGAGAUGCUAUGAUCUAUAGCAUCAUGGUAAGCACAAGGUCUGAAGAUUUCUCUCUUUACGGGAUCGAGGCCUCUAUCAUCAUCGUGGAGGGAUGCUAAGACCCCAUUCUUGACCAAAUCCAUGUAAAUAUGCAACAUUGAUUCUUUGAACGGAGUAAAAUAGUGACAAAAAAACUAAGUGCGCUCAAUCGGCUCCGACGGAUCAUAAGCGAGAACGGUAUUAUUACCCCACAUGUGAAGGAUAUUCCCAAUGUCGAUCUGGUAGUAGAUCCUCAUUUUAAGUGUGUGUCCUCGCUGGUUUGUGUGGAAGGCACAUACUUUCGAAUAGUUCCCUUGCCGAAAAAUUAAAAAUGAACCUUCCUAAGGUGCCCAUCCGAAAUGUUCGUACAAAAGGGCGCAAGACAUAACCCUUGCCCCCACACUAUACAUUGACUCGUUGUCCGGAAGAGUGAUCCACUUAUCUCCUCCUCUCAUACGGCCCACAAAUGGAGGUUUGUAGAUGAUUUCCUCUUCGGCGUUUUCCACAGUUGCUCCAGGGUGAGUGUCGUUUGGACCACCACUAGCCCCUUGUUCACAGGGAGAGUUUUUGGCCCGCUUUUUCUGAAGUUUGGUGAUCAUGUUAUGGUGGAACGCCUUGUUCUUCUGCCUCAAUUCAGCCAUUCGUUCUCUCAUGGUGAUGAAUUUUGCCAUCUUUGUCGUCAGUUCCUCAUCACUUGCUGCAUUUUUAGCCAGCAUAUUUGCGGUUUCUGAAUCUAUCUUCGCUUCUUUUGCCUCCCUUUCUUGAAUCCUUAGCCGAAGCAUAUCCAACUUCUUGCUUAGUCCUCUCUCUCUGCCUCAAUGUUUUUUUUGACAUCAAAUUCUCAUCCAAUGCCACAUUCUUGGCUUUGUAGACUGAUGUGGCAACUUCGACCCUGAGUCCUUCUUCUCUAACCUCUUAAAUUUCUCGAGUGAGUUGUUCGAUCUUUCUUUGUAACUCUUUUCCAGUGAGUUCGAUCUGGAUAUUCUUACCCUUAUUCAUAGCACUGAUUUUCUUUUCCUGAGACAGUAUAGUAAUGUUUUAGGAUUUGAGAUAUGAGACGUGUCUUUUAGUGAGAAACUUAAGACUCGAAAAAUUUUGGUCGCACAUUUUUGUGAUAACGACUUGUAUAUUUCUGGGAAUUUCUGGCAGGAGUGGGUUUACAAUAUCCUUAUUCAUAGCAACAUAUCACAUAAACAGUUAAAACACAUACUUCGCGUCCUAAACAUGCUUGUGACCCUUUUAUGCCAAGAGUAUGCCUAAUGAAUUGAAGAAUGUAUAUGCUUUCUAAACCCGAUUUAUUAUCCCAAAAAUACUUCAUGAAUAACAUCCAUAAUGUCUGAUAAACAUAAAAACAAAGAUAUAGUUCUUAAAUUAAAUUACAAAACAAAGUACAAAUAAAGCGGUCUCACAUAGGGGGUGGUAAAUAAAAUUCAAGUCUCCUCUGAUCCUUUGCCACGUCUGGUCCUCUUGGCGAUGUUAACCUCUUCCGACAUAGCAUAUGUGUUCGCCCAUAGAUGAUCUCUUGCCAAUCGAGCUCCUUCUUGAAGUCUGAACCCCUCUAUCGACUGAAUUUGUUGUUCCAUGCUAUCAUCUGACUUUGUCAUACACUGUCUGCCUCUUCGUAGCUCUUGUUUCAAUUGAGAUAUGACUUUGGUGUCUUCUGAGUGACGCCGUUGAUUCUCUAAUUCAUUCUUAUCAAACUUCUCUUGAAGUCGGACAUGAUGUUUGACUCCAACAUUUGCAAUAAUGUGUGGAACGUUUAGACCAGGCUCAAUAGUUCCAGCAAGACUCUUUUUCAACCAUUCUUUGUACUCCCUAGAACAUUCUGGACGAAACCUGUUUGGUACAGGUUCACCCAACACUCUUCGAGAUCUCCACAUCCUGCAUAUGUGUUCAGCAAAUGGAACUCGUCCAUUCUUGUGGUCAGUUGCAAAUCUUCCUUAUAUCUGCGAUCUGGGGCAACUCUUGUUUCCCUCCUAGUUGCCUUAGGACUCAACCGGGAGCAUAUGUUCGAACCACCAUAUUCUUAGUUACCACCAAACUGUCUAUUGACCACUAUACGUCUUCUUCUCUCAGCCCUCGAAGCCUCAGAUACCAAAAACUUUCUCCUCUAAUCUUAUUGCAACAAUUGUGGUACAACCACCAAUCAUGACCAUGUAGCUUGUCUGACCGCUUUAAGGGAUCUAAUUCUUUUGGAUUAUGAGUCUUGAUCAAAUGUCGUAUUAUCCACCACUGUAGUGUUAGAUUACACCCUUGAAAGAAGCGUUCUCCGCUCCGACAUUUGUCUAAAGCCCUAUAGAUUUUGCCAAAAUCAUAGGCGCUAAAGUGUAAUACUUUGUUGGUGAUUUAUACUCUACUCUGUAGAAGAUCGCAUGAGUGACCAUAAACACGCUAUGAUGAAUACUGUAUUUUGGCCCUUGAGGGAAAAUCAUCGUUUCGAGUAAACAUAUUGCAAAUGCAAGGGGACGCGUCUGUUUUCAUUUUUCGUCUGAAACGAACUUGUCUUUAUAUUUCUCAUAAGACCUUGCACGUCCGAACCAAUAAUAUAUUUUUCUGAAAGUUAUAUUUGGGCCGGGAAGCUUGUCCAUCCACUCGGUUUUAACCAAUGAUAGUUUUUCUCUAAUAUUGGUGAAAUUCCAUAUUAUAGGAUUUAGGAGAUCUAUAUCUGGAUGUCGCUUCCUUUUGUUGCACAUGGAGAUUCUUUCAUAAAUCGUGAGGACUUCUUCUAUUGUUGGCAUCAACUCCACUUCCCCAAAUCGAAAGGACAUAUGCUCGCUAUCCCAGAAUUUCACCAUUGUUCCAAUUAGGCCAUGUCAGGCAUUCAUCUCUAGCAGUGACGGGAGGUAACCUAUGUGUUUCUGAACGAUCAUUUUAUCGUCGUUGUUCAUGAACCUCCACCAUACUUUAAGAAAGGGAUCCGGGACCGUAACCAUUCUUGUUUUCAAAGGCUCAUGUGUCGGAUUCAUCCUGCAAAACUAGCAAACAAAGAUUAGUUAACCCCCACCCCCGUAGACAACAAAUCAUUUUAAAAACACACAUACAUACUUCAAUUAUCACAUAAGCAUGGUUGUCUAUUUUUGGCAAUUUGGGCCAAGUAGGCAAAAGGUGGACUUUUAAUGGGCCCCACACGCCUUGGGUGUUGGGUCGUCCUAGUUCAAAUGCUUCUAAAUUCGAGAUUUUUGCUCGGCUCUACGCUAGUUGACUAGGAGUGGCUUUUGAAAAGACUGGAAACCUAAACGGACAAUUUGGGUUGGAACUCGCGACAACCAUUGGAUGCAUAACGAAUCAAUAAAUUGUCGCUAAUUCCGAAAGAAUGUAAGUAUAAAAAAUUCCGACUGCGGAUUUUUAAACCGUCCUUUAAUAUACUAUACAAUAUAUAUUAGAAAUAUGUCAUGAUAUGCAAUGCCAGUUUAUAAAAUUAAGCAAUUUAAUCACAUAUAAACACUUCAAUUACAACACUUAGUCUCAAUAGUCAAAUAAAAUAAUAGUAGAAAUUACUAUGUUUUGAAAAAUCGAUUAAUCUUAUGAUUUAAGAGAAAUCAAUUUUCCGAAUUGACAGAGUCGCCACUUGAUUUUUUAGUUAAAAUCAAGAAAAUUCGAAAUUAUUUUUCAAAAGAUUUAAAACAGAUAAAAAUCAAUUGAAAAGAGUUCGAAGUUCAAAUGUAUAUUUCGAGAAGGUGUUAGGCCCUCAGAAUUCUCGCUAACUCGCGGUUGACAGGCGAUUUGACUAAAAUGACAUUGACUUGAAUUACCAACUUUUCCAACUAAAGCUUAUUUCUUAUCAUUUUUAUUUAAUUAAAAAUUAUUUUAAAAGGAGUGACUAAAGGUGGUUGAUUAGGAUAAUAAUAGAAAGACUAAGCGACUUGUAUAAAAAAAAUUCCCACAUAUAUAUGUAUUAUUUUAUUUUUUACUUAUUUAUCAUUAUAAUUUAAAUUAGUUAUCUCUUUUUAGGGGAAAUAUUUAAGGGGAUGACCUAAAGGGAUGAACUUGAAGGGUUGACGAAGACCGAAAAAUAUAGUAAAAACUAAGUAGAAUUGUAUGUGUGUGUGUGUAUAUAUAUAUAUAUAUAUAUAUAUAUAUAUAUAUAUAUAUAUAUAUAUAUAUAAAGAAGAUAGAGAAAGGGAAAACUUGAACUUGGGGCAACUUGCCCAAAUUCUACUGAGUUGGGCUCUAGCCCACCUGUCCUAAUACUAGAAUGGCCCAUAAAAUGUAUUCUUCCCCACUUUAACUCCUGCUGGGCCUACUGGAAAGUUCGUUGGGCCUUUGGCCCUACUUUCCUUCAAAUGACCUCUGUAUACACUUUGUGUAUAUUAUGGUAUAUAGACCGUAUACGAUCCGUUUUUGGGCCUGCCAAUCCUGUAUUUUCGCUGAAUUUUACAUCCUGUAUUUCCUACUUGUGUUCUUCUUUUUUUUU
rnacentral:lncRNA from 1 species